AACGAACGCUGGCGGCAGGCUUAACACAUGCAAGUCGAACGCCCCGCAAGGGGAGUGGCAGACGGGUGAGUAACGCGUGGGAAUCUACCGUACCCUACGGAAUAACGCAUGGAAACGUGUGCUAAUACCGUAUACGCCCUUCGGGGGAAAGAUUUAUCAGGGUAUGAUGAGCCCGCGUUGGAUUAGCUAGUUGGUGGGGUAAAGGCCUACCAAGGCGACGAUCCAUAGCUGGUCUGAGAGGAUGAUCAGCCACAUUGGGACUGAGACACGGCCCAAACUCCUACGGGAGGCAGCAGUGGGGAAUAUUGGACAAUGGGCGCAAGCCUGAUCCAGCCAUGCCGCGUGAGUGAUGAAGGUCUUAGGAUUGUAAAGCUCUUUCACCGAUGAAGAUAAUGACGGUAGUCGGAGAAGAAGCCCCGGCUAACUUCGUGCCAGCAGCCGCGGUAAUACGAAGGGGGCUAGCGUUGUUCGGAAUUACUGGGCGUAAAGCGCACGUAGGCGGAUAUUUAAGUCAGGGGUGAAAUCCCGCAGCUCAACUGCGGAACUGCCUUUGAUACUGGGUAUCUCGAGUAUGGAAGAGGUGAGUGGAAUUCCGAGUGUAGAGGUGAAAUUCGUAGAUAUUCGGAGGAACACCAGUGGCGAAGGCGGCUCACUGGUCCAUUACUGACGCUGAGGUGCGAAAGCGUGGGGAGCAAACA
rnacentral:rRNA from 1 species